rnacentral:tRNA from 1 species
GUGACCGAGGCCGAAGGGGUCGAGGCACAGCACUGUGAAUGCUGAAGCAGUGAGUUCGAGUCUCACCGGUCACCCC